UCGGGCGGUCGCUGCACGUUCGCGUGUAGAGGAAAGUCCGGACAUCACAAGGCAGCGUGUCCUGUGAAAGCAGGAGCGGGUCGGCGUCAAGGCCGAUCUGACGGAAAGUGCCACAGAAAACAAACCGCCCGCAAGGGUAAGGGUGAAAAGGUGGGGUAAGAGCCCACCGCUCCGAAGGUAACGACGGAGGCACGGAAAACCCCGCGCGAUGCAAGACAAACAGGGGGAGGGUCGCCUGCCCGCCUAAAGUCCCCCGGGUAUUAGUUGCACCCCGCUAUAAACGCGGGGUACGGCGGCAACGCCGUAAGAAAAAUGACUGCACAGCCCGCAAGGGCGGACAGAAUCCGGCUUACAGA
rnacentral:RNase_P_RNA from 1 species